rnacentral:tRNA from 1 species
UCCCUGGUGGCUCAGAGGAUAAAGUGUCUUCCUGCAAUGAAGGAGACCCGGGUUUGAUCCCUGGGUUGGGAA